rnacentral:rRNA from 1 species
GGCCAGACUCCUACGGGAGGCAGCAGUGGGGAAUAUUGCACAAUGGGGGAAACCCUGAUGCAGCGACGCCGCGUGAGUGAAGAAGUAUUUCGGUAUGUAAAGCUCUAUCAGCAGGGAAGAAAAUGACGGUACCUGAUUAAGAAGCCCCGGCUAACUACGUGCCAGCAGCCGCGGUAAUACGUAGGGGGCAAGCGUUAUCCGGAUUUACUGGGUGUAAAGGGAGCGCAGGCGGCGUGGCAAGUCAGAUGUGAAAACCCGGGGCCCAACCCCGGGAGUGCAUUUGAAACUGCCAUGCUGGAGUGCCGGAGAGGUAAGCGGAAUUCCUAGUGUAGCGGUGAAAUGCGUAGAUAUUAGGAGGAACACCAGUGGCGGAGGCGGCUUACUGGACGGUAACUGACGCUGAGGCUCGAAAGCGUGGGGAGCAAACAGGAUUAGAUACCCUUGUA